GACAGAGGGGGCAAGCGUUGCUCGGAAUUACUGGGCGUAAAGGGCGCGUAGGCGGCCUUCUAAGUCGAACGUGAAAUCCCUGGGCUCAACCCAGGAACUGCGUCCGAUACUGGAAGGCUUGAAUCCGGGAGAGGGAUGCGGAAUUCCAGGUGUAGCGGUGAAAUGCGUAGAUAUCUGGAGGAACACCGGUGGCGAAGGCGGCAUCCUGGACCGGUAUUGACGCUGAGGCGCGAAAGCCAGGGGAGCAAACGGG
rnacentral:rRNA from 1 species